rnacentral:rRNA from 1 species
AUUGAACGCUGGCGGCAGGCCUAACACAUGCAAGUCGAGCGGAUGAAGGGUGCUUGCUCCUGGAUUCAGCGGCGGACGGGUGUGUAAUGCCUAUGAAUCUGCCUGGUAUUGGUGUAUAACGUCCGGUAACGGGCUCUAAUACCGCAUACUUCCUGUUGUAGUAAUUUGUGGUUCUUCUGACCUCACGCUAUCAUCUGUUCCUAGGUCGGAUUAGCUAGUUGGUUGGGUAAAGGCCUACCAAGGCGACGAUCCGUAACUGGUCUGAGAGGAUGAUCAGUCACACGGGAACUGAGACACGGUCAAGAGUACUAAGGGAGGAAGCAGAGGGGAAUAUUGGACAAUGGGCGAAAGCAUGAUCCAGAAAUGCCGCGUGUGUGAAGAAGGUCUUCGGAUUGUAAAGCACUUUAAGUUGGGAGGAAGGGCAGUAAGUUAAUACCUUGCUGUUGUGACGUUACCAACAGAAUAAGCACCGGCUAACUACGUG